rnacentral:pre_miRNA from 1 species
UUAACUCAAAUUUGUAUGUGAAGUUGGAACUUUAGCCGCAAGGGGCGCUGUUCCAACUCCAUAAAAAUUUGAGUUA